UACGGAGGAUCCAAGCGUUAUCCGGAAUCAUUGGGUUUAAAGGGUCCGUAGGCGGUCUUAUAAGUCAGUGGUGAAAUCUCUCCGCUCAACGGGGAAACGGCCAUUGAUACUGUAGACUUGAAUUAUUGGGAAGUAACUAGAAUAUGUAGUGUAGCGGUGAAAUGCUUAGAUAUUACAUGGAAUACCGAUUGCGAAGGCAGGUUACUAUCAAUACAUUGACGCUGAUGGACGAAAGCGUGGGGAGCGAACAGG
rnacentral:rRNA from 1 species